rnacentral:lncRNA from 1 species
GGUUUUGCUUUGUAGUUCAGGCUGGCCUUGAACUUACUAUAUAUUCCAGCCUGGCCUUAAACUCGAGGCACUCCUCCUGCAUUAGCCUCCUGAAUGCUGGGAUUACCAGCGUGCACCACCAAGCCUGGCUUGGAAAAACAUUUUAAAGUUUCAUUAGAAUUUACAUUUUACCGCCUGCCUCACAAGCGCAAGGUCCCGAGUUCGAUCCCCAGUACCCCCCCCCCCAAAUUUACAUUUUAUUCUGUACUUCAAUUGCAUUCUGCCUGUAUUUGCACAUUUGUGUGUGUGUGUGUGGUAAUAGGCAUUGAACCCAGUGCCUUGCACAUGCUAGGUGAGCCCUCUAUUACUGAGCUACAUCCUCAGUCCUUGUUUAAUUUUUUUUGACAGGGCCCCACAGAGUUGCCCAGGCUGGCUUCAAACUUGUGAAUCUGCCUUAGCCUACCAAGUAGCUGGGGAUGUAGUGCAUUUCUUGGUAUCUCAGGUAUAUGCCAUCACACUUAGCUUUUAAAAUUUUUUGAUUGCUGAUAAUUUAAAGGAAUCAAACUUUUAAAGCCAGAUUCACUGCCACCACCAAAAGCAAUGUUUUUAUUUGCUUUCUUGAUACUUUAAACUAUAUUGAUCCAAAAACAUCUUGCUUACUCUGAAGGUGAGAGUCGAAAUGAAGCAUUUUCUCAUUACUUAUUGACAAAUAUACAGAAUUCUGAAUAUCUUAAAAUGGUUUUCAUUUAAUUGAAAUACAGUGUGUACUCUCUUGGUAGUUAAAGCUCUUAUAACUUUAUUUUUAAAUUUGUUACAACCAGAGGAGUGGAAUGUGCCAGUGCAGUUAGGUGUGUGAAAGGAGAACAUUGUAGAAGAGUAAAAGGAAUAGAGCAUUGUAAAGACUAUCUGGCCAGUGAAAGGAAAGAAGAAAGGGAUCCAGAUAAAUAGGAACCAAUUCCUGGCUCCACCACAGUAAGAUCGCAUUAGGAAGCAAUUCUCUGAGAGCGAGUUUCUCUUUCUAGAAGGGGAAAAUCACAGACUCACCAAAGCUGAAAGCUGAGAAGCACUUGGUCAGGUUGUGGCAAAAGCCUGAGUUGGCCUGCUUUGGAGCCAUGGGACUUCCUUAAUCUAAAUUGAUCUUUUCUAAGUAAGACCAAAGGAAAACAAGAUAUGAUUUUUGACAAAGUCUGACUUAGCUUUUAAGUAAUAGGAGACAUUGAUGUCAAAAUUGGUCAUUAAAUUUAUAAAAUGGUAAAUGGUGAAUUUUAAAAACGUAUGGGGGUGUUAGGUGUGUUCAUUAGACUAUUCUAAUGCUAAUGACUACAUUUUAACAAGAUCAGCAAUUCUCUCCAGGGUUGUUCUCUUAGUAAUUUGUCAUUUAAGAACACAUUGACAGAGUUAGACCUGAUCUUCAUAUAAAAGUAAGAAAGGGGAUGCAAUGCAUUUCUUGGGAAUUUAAAUUGAGUCUCUGAGUUACACUGAUAAACUCCAGCUCUGUGACCCUUGAUGUUUUCCUGUUACUAGAACUGUAGGUUCUUUGCAUCAAGGUAGAUGUUAUCUCAUAUAUUUCUGAGGACUCUUCCAGGAGUCAGGGACGCCGGGCCAGGUGCUGGUACUAUAGUGCCAAAUAUAUAAUAUGCUGGGGCCCUGAAGGAGCUGCUUUGUGGAAAGCACUGAGCUGAGGCCUGGUUGAAAGCUGAGCAAGACGCAGAGAUGCUCCUGGUCUAUUCAGGGAAAGAAAAGUUCCACAACACAGUGACAAAAAUCCAAUUGACAGGAUUUAGAUUUUGUGUAACUUUUCCGUUGUUAGUGGUUUCCCCCACCCAAAUUUUGAUUUAUUCUAGUAAUGCCUUAUUUAAAACAGCUUAAAAACUGAAAAAAGGAUGAAAUGGGAUCUAGAAAACUGUUAGGCUCUGAACUAAUCCCCCCCUUUUUUAGUAAAAUGUUUUUAGAUAAUCAUGAAUCAAAGUUAGGUGCUAAUUAUAAGAAUGAAAAUUAUAAUGAAUAGUACAAAAUAAUACACAGUACCAGCUUCUUUGUUAUUUAUAGCCUAUGUAUUAAAAUACUAUUGAAAUACCAUACAUUAAUUUUUUAAGGUUUUUUUUAGAAAAAUUAGCAACUUAGGAAUGGUGAGUUUAAAUGUAGGAAUGAGGAAGAUUUAUUUUUAUAAGGUAAUUUUUAUCCUGAUAAGGACUUUUAAAAAAUUUUUACUUAACAGCUUAAAUUUUAAACAUUGUUAAAUACAUUAGAGAAAAAGCAUUAUAGUAAAUUAGUAGAUUCUUCGGUGUGUAUUUUUUUUUUAACUUAGUGGUAUAAAAUAGGAAGAAUAAUACUGAAUUCUGAAGAUUGUAUAAUAAAGGACAACAAAUACCUUUUUUUUUUUUUUUUUGGUACCGGCGAUCGAACUCGGGUCCUUGCGCUUGUGCAGCAGGCAGCAAAACCACUGAGCUAAAUCCCCGGCCCAACAAAUACCUUUAUUAAAGAUACUUCUGUUAAGUCUGUCCAUAAGCAGCCUAGCCUAGCAAGUUUUUAUCUGAAGCUUUAAUAAACUUAUUUGGGGGAGGUUCUCUUCCCUGUUCUCUGUACUGUAUCCCUAAAGUAAGAUACUUGAAAUCUAGCUCUUGCCUUAAAGUAAGUGCCUCUAUGUUAUUCAUAAAUCAUUGCUUGACUACAUUACAGGACAAGGAUGAGUUGUUGAAGCAUUACUGUACAAUAGAUCAUUUUUUCUGGAUGCAUAUGUUUGUUUCGCCUAUAAUGUAAGAGCCUAUAUGUUUGUUGAGAUCAUACUUUCUGCUAAUAAAUUGUUACUCUAAUAAAAUA